UAAGUCUAAUCUGCCCAAUGAUAUUUUAUUUAAUGGCUGCAGUAUUUAUAACUGUACAAAGGUAGCAUAAUAAUUAGUUUUUUAAUUGAAAACUAGAAUGAAAGAUUAAAUGAAAUAUAUACUAUAUAAAUAAAAUUAAAAAUUAAAAUUAAAAUUUAAGUAAAAAUUCUUAAAUUAUUUUAAAAGACGAGAAGACCCUAUAGAAUUUUAUUUUUUGUUAUUUUAAAAUUUAGUAAUAAAUUUAAAUAUAUAAUAAAAAAUUUAAUUGGGGUAAUUUUAAAAUUAAAUUAAUUUUUAUUUAAAAAACAUAAAUUAAUGAAUUUUUAAUCUUAAAAUUUAGAUUAAAAAAAUAAAUUACCUUAGGGAUAACAGCGUAAUUUUUUUUGAUAGUUCAUAUUAAUAAAAAAGAUUUCGACCUCGAUGUUGAAUUAAGAUUAAUUUAAAAGUAAAAAUUUAAAAAUUUAAGU
rnacentral:rRNA from 1 species